rnacentral:rRNA from 1 species
UACGAAGGUCCCAAGCGUUAUUCGGAAUCACUGGGCGUAAAGGGAGCGUAGGCGGCGUGGUAAGUCAGAUGUGAAAUCCCGGGGCUCAACCCCGGAACUGCAUCCGAUACUGCCAUGCUAGAGGAUUGGAGAGGUAGCUGGAAUUCUUGGUGUAGCAGUGAAAUGCGUAGAGAUCAAGAGGAACACUCGUGGCGAAAGCGAGCUACUGGACAAUUCCUGACGCUGAGGCUCGAAGGCUAGGGUAGCGAAAGGG